rnacentral:rRNA from 1 species
GUGACCUCAAAUCAGGUAGGACUACCCGCUGAACUUAAGCAUAUCAAUAAGCGGAGGAAAAGAAACUAACAAGGAUUCCCCUAGUAACUGCGAGUGAAGCGGGAAAAGCUCAAAUUUAAAAUCUGACAGUCUUUGGCUGUCCGAGUUGUAAUCUAGAGAAGCAUUAUCCGCGCUGGACCGUGUACAAGUCUCCUGGAAUGGAGCGUCAUAGAGGGUGAGAGUCCCGUCUUUGGCACGGACUGCCAGGGCUUUGUGAUGUGCUCUCAAAGAGUCGAGUUGUUUGGGAAUGCAGCUCAAAAUGGGUGGUAAAUUCCAUCUAAAGCUAAAUAUUGGCGAGAGACCGAUAGCGAACAAGUACCGUGAGGGAAAGAUGAAAAGAACUUUGGAAAGAGAGUUAAACAGUACGUGAAAUUGCUGAAAGGGAAACGCUUGAAGUCAGUCGUGUCAGUCAGGGAUCAGCCUUGCUUUUGCUUGGUGUACUUCCUGGCUGAUGGGUCAGCAUCAAUUUUGACUAUUGGAAAAAGAUCAGGGGAAUGUGGCAUCUUCGGAUGUGUUAUAGCCCUUGGUUGUAUGCAAU